rnacentral:rRNA from 1 species
CGGGGUGCAGCAGGCGCGAAAACUUUGCAAUACACGAAAGUGUGACAGGGUCAUCCCGAGUGCCGACCGCUGAGGUUGGCUUUUACCCAGUCUAGAAAGCUGGGGGAAUAAGGAGAGGGCAAGUCUGGUGUCAGCCGCCGCGGUAAUACCAGCUCUCCGAGUGGUGUGGACGUUUAUCGGGCCUAAAGCAUCCGUAGCUGGCUGAACAAGUCCCCUGUUAAACCCACCGAUUUAAUCGUUGGUCUGCGGGGGAUACUGCUCGGCUAGGGGACGAGAGAGGCAGACGGUAUUCCCGGGGUAGGGGUGAAAUCCUAUAAUCCCGAGAAGACCACCAGUGGCGAAGGCUGUCUGCUAGAACGCGCCCGACGGUGAGGGAUGAAAGCUGGGGGAGCGAACCGGAUUAGAUACCCGGGUAGUCCCAGCUGUAAACGAUGCAGACUAGGUGUUUGGACGGCCACGUGCCGUUCUAGUGCCGCAGGGAAGCUGUUAAGUCUGCCGCCUGGGGAGUACGAUCGCAAGAUUGAAACUUAAAGGAAUUGGCGGGGGAGCAC